AUUAAACGCUAGCGGCAUGCCUUACACAUGCAAGUCGAACGGCAGCACGGGGGCAACCCUGGUGGCGAGUGGCGGACGGGUGAGUAACACAUCGGAACGUGCCCUGGAGUGGGGGAUAACGCAGCGAAAGCUACGCUAAUACCGCAUAUUCUGUGAGCAGGAAAGCAGGGGAUCGCAAGACCUUGCGCUUUGGGAGCGGCCGAUGUCGGAUUAGCUAGUUGGUGGGGUAAAGGCUUACCAAGGCGACGAUCCGUAGCGGGUCUGAGAGGAUGAUCCGCCACACUGGGACUGAGACACGGCCCAGACUCCUACGGGAGGCAGCAGUGGGGAAUUUUGGACAAUGGGCGGAAGCCUGAUCCAGCCAUGCCGCGUGAGUGAAGAAGGCC
rnacentral:rRNA from 1 species